CGGUCUGGGAUGGGCUCGCGGCCUAUCAGCUUGUUGGUGAGGUAAUGGCUCACCAAGGCGUCGACGGGUAGCCGGCCUGAGAGGGUGACCGGCCACACUGGGACUGAGACACGGCCCAGACUCCUACGGGAGGCAGCAGUGGGGAAUAUUGCACAAUGGGCGGAAGCCUGAUGCAGCAACGCCGCGUGAGGGAUGACGGCCUUCGGGUUGUAAACCUCUUUUAGCAGGGAAGAAGCGAGAGUGACGGUACCUGCAGAAAAAGCGCCGGCUAACUACGUGCCAGCAGCCGCGGUAAUACGUAGGGCGCAAGCGUUAUCCGGAAUUAUUGGGCGUAAAGAGCUCGUAGGCGGUUUGUCGCGUCUGCUGUGAAAUCCCGAGGCUCAACCUCGGGCCUGCAGUGGGUACGGGCAGACUAGAGUGCGGUAGGGGAGAUUGGAAUUCCUGGUGUAGCGGUGGAAUGCGCAGAUAUCAGGAGGAACACCGAUGGCGAAGGCAGAUCUCUGGGCCGUAACUGACGCUGAGGAGCGAAAGGGUGGGGAGCAAACAGGCUUAGAUACCCUGGUAGUCCACCCCGUAAACGUUGGGAACUAGUUG
rnacentral:rRNA from 1 species